AAGUCAGCAGCUCCAUUUUGUGUCGAGGGGAAGAUAAACCAUUUCAGGAGUAAAAACACAGGUUUGAUUUAACACACCGAUGUUGGAGUGAAGUAAACGUGUGUCCUGCUGUAAUCUGGAGAAGGAGACAUGACCUCCAACAUGAGUGUGUCUGGAGAACAGGACUUAAAGAAAGACGAGAGAAUGAUGGAGGGAAAGAGAUCAGACUCACCAGAACCCAGCUGUGUGUCCAUGAAGAGUGAUGCGUCAAUGGAUAUUCCAAAUAAGUUCAGAGACGGAGCCAGUUCUCCUGAUGUGAGGUCAGUACAGUGAGGUGUUUUACAGCAGUGUUCCACCUGAUCAAACUCACUGGUCUCAUUAUGAAGCCCUUCAUGAUCUUUAUCAGGUGUUGAAGCAGUAAAACACUAAAGUGUGCAGUGCUGCAGCUCUCGGACUGGCAGUGAGGAAAACUGCUUUAAGAGUUCAGUUCAGCCUGCAGUCCCUGAGCUGGAGGGUCUGUGGUGCUACACAACAACAUUUACACCUGGGACAUUAAUGACUAGAUCACUAUUUUAUUCAUAAACUUGUUAGUGUCAGUGAGGAAACCCUGAAAUCAGUGUAUUGUGUUAAGAGGAUAGUGUUAAAUAUCUGUCUCUGUAUGUAUUAGUGUGUUGUGCAGCUAUGAAUACAUAUAGUCUAUAUUACAUCAUGUGUUUUAUUUGUUCACAGACCACAAAAGAAGAAAUCAAACAUCAGCAGAAAUCAGCU